rnacentral:rRNA from 1 species
AGAUAGUAUAAAAAUUCAAAAAAAAAUCUAAAUAUUUUGGCGACAUAUAAUUUGGUUAGAGGAACCUGUCCCUUAAUCGACAACCCACGUUACAAUUUACUUUUAUUAAAAGUUUAUAUACCGCCAUAACAGAAUUUUUAUUAAACUACAAUUCAAAAUAAUAUUCUAAAAACAUAGGUCAAGGUGUAAUUUAAAUUAAAGAGAGGAUAUGUUACAUUAAAAGUGAUUUAAGGAUAAUUAAAAUUACCAAUAAUUUAAAAAAGGAUUUAAUAUUAAAUUUAAAAUUCAAUUUAAAUUGAAAUAAAUUAAAUAUGUGU